rnacentral:rRNA from 1 species
ACGAGUGGCGAACGGGUGAGUAAUAUAUCGGAACGUGCCCAGUCGUGGGGGAUAACUGCUCGAAAGAGCAGCUAAUACCGCAUACGACCUGAGGGUGAAAGCGGGGGAUCGCAAGACCUCGCGCGAUUGGAGCGGCCGAUAUCAGAUUAGGUAGUUGGUGGGGUAAAAGCUCACCAAGCCAACGAUCUGUAGCUGGUCUGAGAGGACGACCAGCCACACUGGGACUGAGACACGGCCCAGACUCCUACGGGAGGCAGCAGUGGGGAAUUUUGGACAAUGGACGCAAGUCUGAUCCAGCCAUGCCGCGUGCGGGAAGAAGGCCUUCGGGUUGUAAACCGCUUUUGUCAGGGAAGAAACGGCCUUUUCUAAUACAGAGAGCUAAUGACGGUACCUGAAGAAUAAGCACCGGCUAACUACGUGCCAGCAGCCGCGGUAAUACGUAGGGUGCAAGCGUUAAUCGGAAUUACUGGGCGUAAAGCGUGCGCAGGCGGUUAUGCAAGACAGAUGUGAAAUCCCCGGGCUCAACCUGGGAACUGCAUUUGUGACUGCAUAGCUAGAGUACGGUAGAGGGGGAUGGAAUUCCGCGUGUAGCAGUGAAAUGCGUAGAUAUGCGGAGGAACACCGAUGGCGAAGGCA